rnacentral:misc_RNA from 1 species
AGGAAAAUGAACUCACCCUUGAGCUAAUUUACUUCUGUUUUAAACUAGUUUAAACUUGUUGGGGAAGAUACGGGAAAAAAAUAUUUUAGGGUCUGCAUUUCUUUCUAUUGAUAGCUUAUGCAAUGACUAUAUUGAUGUUUGAUAGCUGCUUUAAUAAUUUACCAUAGACAGUGGUAUUUGACACAGCCAAGAACUCACUUAUGGAUUUUGCAAUAUGCUGAUCUCUGUGAAUAGUUAUUUCAGUAAUACCAUUGUCUUAAACAAUCAAGGCUAAAGUAAUACUUACAUAUCAAUGCUAACUUGUCUAAAUGCCGUCAAUUGCAUCUUGAUUCACUUUAUUUUGUGUAAAAUUUGAUGUACGCAUCCAAUCCUCUGAAAUCCAAACUUCUAUUUAUUUCUUGUUCAACUGUCUAAUGAAGCUAGGAAUUUUGAGUCAAAGCUUGGAAUUUUUGUAUCAACUUGAA